AAGCCACACACACAAUAAAACCCUAGCCGCCGCCCUCACGGGCUCACCCAUCAUUAGUUUAAGUGUGAGGCAGCGGCGUGCAUCGGCGCCGGAGGCGUGCGCUCACCCCGCCUCUCCGCUCGUCCCGCUCGCCGCGGCCGAUGACCGCACCACCCGAGACCGCGGCCACCCGAAAAAACGGCGGCGAUGAGGAGGCCCGGCCCUUGGCGCAGACCCGCGCCCCCGAGCGGCGGCAGCGUCGGAUCCGGCUGCCUCGCGGGGCCAGCCCUCCCGUCCGCGCCGCGCCGCGUCGCCGCCGGCAUGGAGGCCCCUGCUCGGGCAGCCUCCGCGGCGUCGUCGGCGUCGCUGCGGCGGCGGGGUCUUUGGGUACCGCGUGGCGGGGGACCGGCGCGGCUUCCGGUCGAGGGUUCUGGCGACGCCAAGCCGUAGAUCUGAGCCGCCGUCCGCACCUCGUUUCCUCCAUGUUUCGAUCUGGUACCCCACCCCCACCACCUCAUCUGUAAAUGCAGUGAUUGGGGUCGAUCGCUCGCUGGUCCAGAUCAGGGUGCGCCGCCUCCCACCAGUUCAUCCACACCCUUUCUUUUCGCGAAAAUCCCUGCCUACUGUAACCAUUCGGAUUAUAUAAACGAGGGAGAAAAGAGGCUCCAGAAGUUCUUAUAACCCAGCUCAAGUGGUUUCAAGCAUUGCUUGGUGCAUCUAUAUGUAAGAAUUCACGGAUCAUGGAGUAUCAGUUAGAGCUGGAUUUAAAUUCCUUCAUGAGCCCCAGCAUAAAGAGUGAUAAAAAAUUGAUCUGGUGAUGGAGACACUGGGGUAAGGGUCGUAUGAUCGUGCAACGACGAAUCUGAGGCCACUCAAAUGCAGAUCUGGUCUCAAGCACAUUGUACCAUGUUGUUGCCGUUCUGUAUUUGUGUUUCGUGCAUCUUUGAUUUGCAGGAUUUUAAGAACACAUCGAAGGAGAUAGCAUACUCUUUGUUGGUUCAUCAUAUAUCAUAUGAUUUUGCAUGUAGACGUCACUAUUGAUUGAUGCUCUGCAAGAUUCUGAUUCCACCUUAAGUUUCUAUGGAUGACCACAAAUUCUUACGGAUCCUGUAUGCCAAACAAUACCUUUCCUUUUUUGGUUGAUGUAAAAAAAAUAUUGUUUGUAUUGCUAUUGCUUGAUGUUCUGCAAGAUUCUGGUUACUUCUAAUUUUUUGGGUACUAUUUUGGCUGUUGCUUGGUCAUUUGAUCUUUCCUUCCUAGUUCUACUCACUGUUUAUUGUUUGUGAUCAUUUUGCUACUCUCCGGAGAUACUUUUGGUUUAUCUUCUCUUAAGUUUUUUUCCUUAGUAUAAUAUAAUCUCUUUAUGAGCAAGUUGCACUUUGUUACACUAGGAAGACUUGCGUUCAGAAAUGUAUUGGUUGGAUGACUUGUUUUAAUUAGUUUCCAUACUAUGUUUAUUUGUUUCCUACAAGUUGCCAGUUGCAGCUAUUUGUUCUCGCGUGCUACAAAAUAACGAUGCUACUGUUUUUUUAGUACUGGAUUGUUAAUGUAAAGAGUGACUGAGGUAGCAUGUCGCAUGUUGCUGUUUGUAACCAUAAGCAACGUGUUGACACUUGACAGCUUUGAUAGAGUGGCUGGGUUAAUCUGUGCCAUCAAGGUGAUAUUUCCUUAUUGCUUUCUUUUGUUCGUUGCGAAGAUUUUCCCAAUUUUGUCUGUUUGCCACUGAUUUUUUUUGGAUCAUGCACUAGACAAAAGGUUGGUGAACUUUGAAGGAUAUGUGUUUUUACUAGCUUCUAAACUUCUUUUUUUUGCUAAGCAAAGCAUUUGGGGUAAUUAUGUGUUGUCGCAGCUUUCUCUUUACAUAUAUAAUUUUGCAUUGCUUUGUCUUGCACUCUUCCUGGUUAGCUUAUAACAGUCGCGGCCUUUGCCCAUUUAGACGUACUCCCUCCAUCCGAAAAAUAUAAGAGUGUUUUUGACACUCUUAUAUUAUGGCUAAGCAAAGCCUUUGGGGUAAUUAUGUGUAGUGUAAAAAAUGCUCUUAUAUUAUGGGAUGGAGGGAGUAGUAACUAUUUAAACAUCAGAAUUCAGUAUGAUUUUGGUUACCACCACAAGUUUGUCUAUUGACAAAACAUGGUCCGGGAAGGCCACAUCUUUCUGUAGAAGCCCAUCUUGUCUGCUAUGUGGUAAUGAUCGCUAGCUAUUUUAGUUGUGAAAUUGUGCUUUUGUAAGCCGGAGAUCACCACCUCACCGUCAGUGGCGGAGCGUUACCAACAAAUAUUGGAACCUUGUUUGCAUCAUCAUCUUUAUCAUCUUCGUCACUGCCUCAGUUACCAUCCUCUUU